AGUGAACGCUGGCGGUAGGCCUAACACAUGCAAGUCGAACGGCAGCACAGUAAGAGCUUGCUCUUACGGGUGGCGAGUGGCGGACGGGUGAGGAAUACAUCGGAAUCUACUUUUUCGUGGGGGAUAACGUAGGGAAACUUACGCUAAUACCGCAUACGACCUACGGGUGAAAGCAGGGGAUCUUCGGACCUUGCGCGAUUGAAUGAGCCGAUGUCGGAUUAGCUAGUUGGCGGGGUAAAGGCCCACCAAGGCGACGAUCCGUAGCUGGUCUGAGAGGAUGAUCAGCCACACUGGAACUGAGACACGGUCCAGACUCCUACGGGAGGCAGCAGUGGGGAAUAUUGGACAAUGGGCGCAAGCCUGAUCCAGCCAUACCGCGUGGGUGAAGAAGGCCUUCGGGUUGUAAAGCCCUUUUGUUGGGAAAGAAAAGCAGCAGGUUAAUACCCCGCUGUUCUGACGGUACCCAUAGAAUAAGCACCGGCUAACUUCGUG
rnacentral:rRNA from 1 species